AUUGUGGCUAAAUGUUGAGGUUAGCCACAUGAAUCUAAUCUCCCAAGUCUAAACGUAGCAAAGCGAGAUUAGAUUAUUUUGUUUUAGUGUCUUAAUUUCACCCAGUCUAAACGUAGCAAGGUGAAGUUAAGUUGUCUUGUAUUAAUUGGCUAAAUGUUGAGGUUAGCCACAUGAAUCUAAUCUCCCAAAUCUAAACGUAGGAAAGUGAGAUUAGAUUAUUUUGUUUUAUUGUCUUAAUUUCACCCAGUCUAAACGUAGCAAGGUGAAGUUAAGUUGUCUUGUAUUAACUGUUUAAACUCAUAGGUUAAACGUAGCACUUGAGUAAGAUGUAUUGUGUUAAAAUUGUAUAACUGUGUGUAUAUGGUUUAAAUUUUGAUAAACUGUGACAUCAUUUGAGAAGAGAUUUUUGUGUAAACUCCAGUUGUCAGUCAGUAUACAGACUGAAAAUUGUGACCUUUCGAUCUCUCAAAAGGUGAUACAGUGAGUGUAUACAUUUGGUGUUUCAAAGUACAAGUAACAGAAAUGAGGUUGAAUCAUGGCAAGCAGCUUGAUCAUGGGGAUAGUAUACCCAGUGAUUCCCCAGUUUAUUUAAU